UAAUUAUGAUUAAAGAAAAAG
rnacentral:piRNA from 1 species